ACACGUAGGGGGCGAGCGUUGUCCGGAAUGACUGGGCGUAAAGGGCGUGUAGGCGGCGGUGUAAGUCUGGAGUGAAAGUCCCGCAUUCAAUGUGGGAAUUGCUUUGGAUACUGCAGUGCUAGAGUGCGGAAGAGGUAAGUGGAAUUCCCAGUGUAGCGGUGAAAUGCGUAGAGAUUGGGAGGAACACCAGUGGCGAAGGCGACUUACUGGGCCGUAACUGACGCUGAGGCGCGAAAGCGUGGGGAGCGAACAGGAUUAGAUACCCUGGUAGUCCACGCGGUAAACGAUGAAUGCUAGGUGUUGCGGGUAUCGACCCCUGCAGUGCCGGAGUAAACACAAUAAGCAUUCCGCCUGGGGAGUACGGCCGCAAGGUUGAAACUCAAAUGAAUUGACGGGG
rnacentral:rRNA from 1 species